rnacentral:rRNA from 1 species
UACAGAGGGGGCAAGCGUUGUUCGGAAUUACUGGGCGUAAAGGGCGCGUAGGCGGAAUGGCAAGUCGGUCGUGAAAUCCUUCGGCUCAACCGAAGAACGUCGAUCGAAACUGCCGUUCUUGAGGAUUGCAGAGGAGACUGGAAUUCCCGGUGUAGCGGUGAAAUGCUUAGAUAUCAGGUGGAACACCAGUGGCGAAGGCGGUGUUCUGGGCCAGUACUGACGCUGAGGCGCGAAAGCGUGGGGAGCGAACAGG